UGCCAGCCGCCGCGGUAAUACGAAGGUGGCGAGCGUCGUUCGGAUUUACUGGGCGUAAAGCGUGCGUAGGCGGAUCGACAAGUUGGGGGUGAAAUCCCGGGGCUUAACCCCGGAACUGCCCUCAAAACUGUCGAUCUAGAGACCGGGAGAGGUAAGCGGAAUUCCUAGUGUAGAGGUGAAAUUCGUAGAUAUUAGGAAGAACACCAGUGGCGAAGGCGACUUCCUGGGCCAAUACUGACGCUGAGGUGCGAAAGCGUGGGGAGCAAACAGGAUUAGAUA
rnacentral:rRNA from 1 species